CCNUAUGGGUUGUAAACUUNUUUUAUAAGGGAAUAAAGUGAGGGACGUGUCCCUUUUUGUAUGUACCUUAUGAAUAAGGAUCGGCUAACUCCGUGCCAGCAGCCGCGGUAAUACGGAGGAUCCAAGCGUUAUCCGGAUUUAUUGGGUUUAAAGGGAGCGUAGGUUGACAUAUAAGUCAGCUGUGAAAGUUUACGGCUCAACCGUGAAAUUGCAGUUGAUACUGUAUGUCUUGAGUGUACAAGAGGUGGGCGGAAUUCGUGGUGUAGCGGUGAAAUGCUUAGAUAUCACGAAGAACUCCAAUUGCGAAGGCAGCUCACUGGGGUACAACUGACACUGGGGCUCGAAAGUGUGGGUAUCAAACAGGAUUAGAUACCCUGGUAGUCCACACAGUAAACGAUGAAUACUCGCUGUUUGCGAUAUACAGUAAGCGGCCAAGCGAAAGCAUUAAGUAUUCCACCUGGGGAGUACGCCGGCAACGGUGAGACUCAAAGGAAUUGACGGGGGCCCGCACAAGCGGAGGAACAUGUGGUUUAAUUCGAUGAUACGCGAGGAACCUUACCCGGGCUUGAAUUGCAGAGGAAUAUAGUUGAAAGAUUAUCGCCGCAAGGUCUCUGUGAAGGUGCUGCAUGGUUGUCGUCAGCUCGUGCCGUGAGGUGUCGGCUUAAGUGCCAUAACGAGCGCAACCCUUAUCAUUAGUUACUAACAGGUCAUGCUGAGGACUCUAGUGAGACUGCCGUCGUAAGAUGUGAGGAANGUGGA
rnacentral:rRNA from 1 species